UACUCCCGCCGGCGACCGGCGCACGGGUGAGUAACACGUAUGAAACCUGCCCGUAGCAGGGGGAUAAGCGGAAGAAAUUCCGUCUAAUACCGCGUAACAACCCGAGGAGGCAUCUCCUCGGGUUUAAAGGAAGCGAUUCCGGCUACGGAUGGUCAUGCGUCGCAUUAGCUAGUUGGCGGGGUAACGGCCCACCAAGGCGACGAUGCGUAGGGGUUCUGAGAGGAAGGUCCCCCACACUGGUACUGAGACACGGACCGGACUCCUACGGGAGGCAGCAG
rnacentral:rRNA from 1 species